rnacentral:rRNA from 1 species
AUUGAACGCUGGCGGCAGGCCUAACACAUGCAAGUCGAGCGAGCGGCGGACGGGUGAGUAAUGUAUGGGGACUGCCCGAUAAAGGGGGAGAACUACUGUAAACGGUGGCUAAUACCGCAUACUGUCGGAUCACCAAUAUUGGAUUAGCUAGUAGGUCAGGGAAUGGCUUACCUAGGCGACGAUCCCUAGCUGGUAUGAGAGGAUGAUCAGCUACACUGGGACUGAGACACGGCCCAGACUCCUACGGAGGCAGCAGUGGGGAAUAUUGCACAAUGGGCGCAAGCUUGAUGCAGCCAUGCCGCGUGUAUGAAGAAGGCCUUCGGGUUGUAAAGCACUUUCAGUCGGGAGGCGUUACCGACAGAAGAAGCACCGGCUAACUCCGUGCCAGCAGCCGCGGUAAUUC